GCCACCAUGUGAAGGAUAUGUGUUUGCUUCCCCUUCUGCCAUUAUUAUAAGUUUCCUGAGGCUUCUCCAGCUAUGCUGAACUGUAAGAUGUGCCUUUUGCCUUCCACCGUGAUUGUGAGGCCUCCCCAGCCACAUAGAACUAAUCCAUUUAAAGGGAUGGAAGAUUGAUGUCCAUGGCAUCCUCUGAACCUAAGAUCCUAAGACAUGUCACCCAUAAUCUGGUCACACCAUCCAAAAGAAACCCUGAAGGCACAGGUAAUUAACAUGAAAUGUUCAAACAUACUUUGAAGACAAAGCAUAUUUUCUUCUUGUUGUCUUCUCUACUCUGUGUUAAUCAUUUGGUUAAUGGAUACGGGUCAACUAAAAAUUGGACUUGUAUUUAGAAGUCAUUAAAGGG